rnacentral:lncRNA from 1 species
UCACUCAGCCCAAAUUAACUUUCAUUGGGCUUAAUGUCCAGCCCAUAUUUCUUUGUUUUGUGCCCUUGACUUAGUCAUUGGAUGUGAAAAACAAAACACACGUUUUUGGGGGAAGUGGGCAGAGGCUGAUUUUUGAGUUUUGAACUUUCCUCUCAUCUCCAAAAUAAAAGGAUGCAGCGACUCCAAUCUAAGAUACACAAAAACGGCUAUUCUUCUUCUUUAUAUUAAACACUUCUUCCUCUACAUUCUGGAAUCCUUAUUCUCUACAUAGGCAGCGAAUUUUCUUCUUUCCAGAAUAUAGAUAUACACCUUUCUCUCUUCAAUAAAUUGAAAGCGUCUCCACUCCGUCUUCGGCGAGUGCACGCAAUUGACGGAUUGCUGUGUUAACCUUGGGAAGCGUUCGGCAACGAGACUUGUCACCGGAGGGUCUGCCGAGAUAGCUUUUAAGGCAGCGGUGCGCCGCGACACAGUUUCGAUUCUUGUUUCUCUUUUUAUACUCUGUUUUGCAGGUUGAGGUUUUUUGUCGAGCAGGUGGUGUGCGCAGAGUAUUCUGCCUGUUCCUUGUAUCGCAGCCAAGGUGUGGCUGUUCCAACACGUGCAAUGCACGCGCCCAAUUUAAAAAAAUGAAAAAUCGAAAAUUCGAAUUUAUAUACACUUUUUGACUGCAGCUCCUCGGUCUCCGCACCUUUGACCGACAGAUUUUAAUUUUUUUUUUUUAUUUCCUUCUUCUCUUCUUAAACUACCACUCUUCUUCUUCUCUUCUCCACACCUCUUCUCCUUCUUCCUUCAUCCUUCUUCCUUCUUCUCUUCACACCUGUUCUUCUCCUACAAUUUUCUCCGUCAUGGAUCCACACAACCCUUUCUAUGAUCCAAAUCGGUGCCCUGAUCUCUCCUCCGAUUAUCAUCCCGAUAUGGGAGGAAUCAACUUGGAGGAGAGCCCGCCCGAGGAGGAACCGGUGAGUGCUCAGCAGAGUGUCUCCCCACCAAAAAAAGGCGGCCGGAGGAAGGAAAAGGCCACCAAAAUGAAGCACGACAAACCAAAAGUUUACCGUCACACUUACCUUCCACAGCAUACGGAUCUCAUCGUCCAAAUUUGGGCGGAGGAGACCAACGACUCGAUCCGUGGGACGGAUCAGAAGGGAGAGUCAUAUUGGGGCCGGAUCCGCGAACGUGUGUGCCCCAUCAUCGGCGUCGACCUCGGCAUUAAGCAACUUCAAGGCCACUGGUCCCGGUGAGCGCGGAUGUGCGUCUCUGGGAAGCUGUUUGGGUGGAGACGAGCAACAAUUGGCCGUCCGGUCAUUCGGAUGAUAUGAUUCGUGAAAAGGCCCAAACCAUCUUCAAGGCCAGAAGCCCAACCAAUGCCUCCUUCAAUUUCUGGAACGCGUGGAGAACUCUCCGGCACAAUCCCAAGUUCAAGUCGAUGUACCUCCUUGGAGACGUGCAUGCCUCCAAGAGGACAAAGACUACGGAAGAGGGCGGCUUCACCACCUCGGCGUCGGGCGAGGAGAUCUCUUCUGCUCGGCCCAUUGGCAACAAGGCGGCGAAGGCGGCGGCCAAGGCGGCGAAGGCGGCGGAGAAAGGGAAAGGGAAGGCUGCAGCGUCGCAUACGAGCUCGGAUCCUCCACCAGAAAUUGUGGAGAGGUUGGAUAGGAACGACGCGCAGAUGAGGGCAUUCACCGCCCAGUACCAGCGGAGGAACGAUCUCCGGGAGAGGGAGCUCGAUAUGCAGCUCCUGAACACGGAUACGACGAACAUGACGGACGCACAACGUGCAUUGCACGCGUCCAUGGUCGCCGACGUGCUCAGGCGUCGUGGUCUAUCCUAGGCUUUUAAUUAUGUGAUUUUAAUGAUGUUUUAGGUUUUUAAAUUUUAUGUAUUUUUUUUAUGUUUUAAGUAAUUUUAAUUUAUGUUUAAUCCAGUAUUUAAAUAUGCAAUUUAAAUUAUGCAAUAAAAUUUAAAUGAAAAACAUAAAAUCAAAACUAAUAUUAUCAAGGAGGCUAUCAAGAAACCCCAAUGCAGCAUUACCUACUCAAUAACACAAACACUAUCAAGGAGGCUAUCAAGGAGGCUAUCAAGGAGGUCCCAAUGCGGAUGCUCUAAUGCACGACCUUCUUGAAUUGGGAGAUUUCAUAUAAACAUACAUUACUUUGCUGCCUUCCAAUGAUGAAAACCUCCAAUAAUGAGGAAAAGUACAAUUGGGACAUAUAGAUUUCAUGUUAUUUAGGUGAACAUUUCCUCCAUAUUAACAGAAUGAACAAAAAUUUGAAACUUUAAUUUACAAAGGGUAAAUAUCCAUUAUUACCCCAAUAUUUACGUAAAUCAACGAGAAUGUCUCAAUGCAAAUAUAAUUACAAAAAAGUACUCAACGUUUCAAAAGAAUCAUGUUCGAAAAAAUGUCUCAAUGCAAAUAUAAUUGUAGCUCAUAUUCAUUCUCCUUUUUUCUUGAAUUUAUUUGUUCAUAAUAAAAGGAGUUACGAUCUUCUAUGACUAAAAUGGAGAUUUUAUUCGCUUCUCGCCUGCAAACAUAAUAGUUAAUUAGUUACUAUACANGAAGGGUUAUCUUUGGUCUGUUUGUUCUGAAUGUUGAUUCUGAAAUCGUGAAUGAAAAUGCUUGUUCUUCUGCUUAUUUGAUUGAGUCUUUAGAUGUUUGGCAUGCAAGACUUGGACAUGUUAAUUAUGCUUCUAUUAAGAAACUUCGAAAUAUGGCAUUAAUUCCUGCUUCAAACCAAAAGGACGUUGUUAAAUGUGAAAUAUGUGUUGAAGCGAAAUUUGCUAAAAAAUCAUUUAAGUCUGUGGAACAUAGAUCCUCUGAGCUUCUUGAUUUGAUUCACACGGACUUAGCUGAAUUUAGAAGCACAAUUAGUAAAGGUGGAAAGAUGUACUAUAUUUCAUUUGUGGAUGACUUUUCUCGUUACACUCGUUUGUACCUCUUAAGAACCAAAGAUGAAGCUACUGAUGCGUUUCUUAAGUUUAAGGCAGAAGUAGAAAAUCAAUUGAACAAGAAGAUUAAGAGGUUAAGAUCAGACAGAGGAGGUGAAUAUAGUACUCUUUUCUUGGAAAAUUUCUGUGAACAACAUGGGAUUAUACAUGAAUUUACUGCUCCUUAUUCUCCUGAACAAAAUGGCAUUGCUGAAAGGAAAAAUAGAACUCUCAAGAAUAUGAUCAAUGCUAUGUUGCUUAGUUCUGGUUUGCCUAACAACAUGUGGGGGGAAGCUGCUUUAUCUGCGUGUUAUAUUCUUAAUCGUGUGCCUCACAAGAAACUUGAAAAAACCCCUUAUGAAAUGUGGAAAGGCUUUCAGCCUAACCUGAAAUAUUUAAAAGUGUGGGGGUGCCUUGCUAAAGUGAGAUUAAAUGAUCCAAAACAAGUGAAUGUAGGAUCAAAGACCUUUGAUUGUGUAUUUAUUUGUUAUGCUCAUAAUUCUGCUGCAUAUAGAUUUAUGUCUUUAAGUGAUCAUUCUAUCUAUGAAUCUCGUGAUGCUGAGUUCUUUGAGCAUAUAUUUCCUAUGAAGACUAACACUACUGUUGAGAAUGUUUCGAGUACUUCACAGGAAAAUCAAGCUGAGGCUUCUCAUCGUUCAGCCCAGGAAACUGAGAAAACGUCGGAACCGAGAAGAAGUAAGAGGAGACGAACAGAGACAUCGUUUGGUAACAAUUUCAUUACUUCAUUUGUUGCUGAAUAUUCUGAGAAAAUUGAUGAAUCUGUUGUGUAUGCGUUUCUGCUUGAGGAGGAUCCUCUUACUUAUCAAGCUGCCAUGACUAGUAUAGAUGCUCCACUUUGGAAAGAAGCUGUACAUAGAGGUGGCCACGGUUCGGUUCUCGGUUCGAACCGGAACCGGAACCGCCGGUUCCCGGUUCCAAAAACUGGAACCAGAACCGAACCGAAAAAUAACCCUCACGGUUUCGGUUCCGAACCGUGAACCGGCGGUUCCGAUUCCGGUUCUGAACCGCCGGUUUCGGUUCGAACCGUUAGAACUGUCCGUUUUUUUUUUUAAUGUAAUUUUUAUUAUUUUAUGUAUUGUUGUGUAAAAUUUAAUGAAAUUUGCUUUAAUAAAAUAAAUGACACAAGAAAAUAUAAAGUUCAUAUACAUUAUUUUCUAAAUUGAACUUAUAAUUCAAAGUUAUACCUUACAACUCUUGUAAAUAAAAUUUACAAAUUACAACAUUUGAAUGCUAAAAUAAAAUUAAGGCAAUUUAGUUUACAACUUUUAAUUGGGGAAAAAAAGAAAUAAAGGAAAUAGAACUUGAGCUUCUUUUUCGUUUUUGUUUUCAUUUUUUGCUCGUUUCUUUUUCAUUUUUUUCUAUUUCUAUUUUUUUUAUUUCUAUUCUUCUUUUUUUACAAUAUUUAUUUUACUUUAUUUAUUUCAAAGCAAUUAUUAUUAUGAUAAAAAUAACUAUCAAUAUGAAAAAUUGUAGUAAUAUUUUUUAUAGAUUACCUUUCAUCAUAUUAAUAGUAAAGGAUUUUCUUACGACGAUAAUUAUUUGACCAAAUAUUUUCUUUAUUUUAUUUUAGUAAAUAAUUUUCUUUAUUUUCUUUAUUUUUUCGUUAAUUUUUUAUUUUCACAUUUUUUAUAUUUUUUUCUUUUUUUUUUCUAAUUAUUUCAUCUUUUCUAAAAAUAUUACAUUUAUUCAUAUCAAUUGUUAUUUUUUUCUUACGACAAUAAUUAAAAGGCGGUUCUAGGCACGGUUCCACGGUUCCCGGUUCUAACCGGUUCUAACCGUGGAACCUUCGGUUCACGGUUCCAAGGCGGUUCUGGCACGGUUCCAACCCGGUUCCCGGUUCCGGUUCCGGUUCGGAACCGAGAACCGGCGGUUUGAGAAAUCGGAACCGUAACCGAACCGGCCGAGCACGGUUUCGGUUCCGGUUCGGAACCGUGUAUCACGGUUCCGGUUCCAGAACCCUCCCGGACGGUCCGGUUUUCCGGUUCGGUUCCCGAUUCCGGUUUUUUUGGCCACCUCUAGCUGUACAAAGUGAACUUGAUUCCAUUAAUGAUAAUCAUACUUGGGAAUUUGUUGAUGUGCCUGCUAGUUGCAAACCUAUUAGAACUAAAUGGAUUUUUAGGAAGAAACUAAAACCUGAUGGUUCAGUUGAUAGAUAUAAGGCAAGAUUAGUUGUGGUUGGAUAUUCUCAGAAAAAGGAUGUUGAUUUCUUUGACACUUAUUCUCCUGUUGCUCGAAUCUCUACUAUCAGAACACUAGUUGCUUCAGCUGCUAUUCAUAAUUUGAUUGUGCAUCAAAUGGAUGUGAAAACAACCUUUUUAAAUGGGGAUCUGAAUGAAGAAUUUAUAUUGAACAACCUGAGGGUUUUGUCGUACCUGGGAAAGAACAUAAAGUAUGCAAACUGAAAAAAUCAUUGUAUGGUCUUAAACAAGCCCCUAUUCAGUGGUAUGAAAAGUUUCAUAAUACUAUUCUUUCUAACGGUUUUUCUGUUAAUUGCUCCGAAUCAUGCUUAUAUUCUAAAACCUGUGGAUCAGAUUGCGUGUUAAUAUGCUUAUAUGUGGAUGACAUGUUAAUUUUUGGUACGUAUCUGAACAUUGUGUUGGAGACAAAAGCUUAUUUAUCUUCUGUCUUUGAUAUGAAAGAUAUGGGUGAAGCUGAUGUUAUCCUCGGGAUAAAAUUGAUUAAAUCUGAGCAUGGUUAUGCAUUGAGUCAGUCUCAUUAUGUGGAACAAGUCCUCAAAUGCUUUGAUUGCAAUGAAUUAGUUCUUGUGAAAACUUCUUAUGAUUCUAGUUUACAAUUGAAAAAGAAUCUUGGUGAAUUCGUUUCUCAAGAACGUUAUGCUAGAAUUUUAGGGAGUGUGAUGUACUUGAUGAACUGCACUAGGCCUGAUAUUGCAUAUGAUGUGAGCCGUUUGAGUCGAUAUACACAUAAUCCUAGUAAUGAUCAUUGGUUUGCACUUUAUCGUUUGCUGAGAUAUCUUAAGGGAACUGUUUAUUAUUGUUUACAUUACUCUAAAUAUCCUAAUGUGUUAGAAGGUUAUUGUGAUGCAAACUGGGUAUCAGACAGUGAUGAGGUAAGCUCCACGAGUGGAUAUGUAUUCACUCUUGGAGAUGGUGCAAUUUCUUGGAAAUCUGGAAAACAAACUUGUAUUGCAGGUUCUACGAUGGAAUUUGAAUUCAUAGCAUUAGAGCUGGCGAGUCAUGAGGCGAAGUGGUUGCGAGAACUGUUGGUAGAUGUGUCGUUGGGUAAGAGGUCUCAGGCACCUAUUUCUCUUCAUUGUGACUCACAAGCUGCCAUCUCUAUUGCUAAAAACAGUGUCUACAAUGGAAAGAGGAGACACAUUCGGCUAAGACAUGCAGUGGUGAGAGAAAUGCUUAGUGAUGGAGUCAUUUCUUUAGACUUUGUGAGGUCUAAGAAAAACUUGGCUGACCCAUUCACUAAAGCACUCAUCAAGAGGCAAGUGCAAGAGCUUUCAGCUGGAAUUGGAAUGAAGUCAUUGAAUGGAAAGCUAACUGUGGAUACCUAAAGGCAAGAAACCAGUGAGCUUUAUUCAUUUAUAGCUUUUAUGUAAUAAACUGUGUUGUUCUACUGCGGAGAACAUUGGCCAUAGAUGAAUCAUCACCUGUUGAAGGUAUUUCCACUGCGGUGGAUUUUUGAUUGUACUAUGAUUUAGGUUGACAUUUGGCUCUUAAUGAUUCUUGCAGUGUGUUUUGCGAAACACUUCGAUAUAUUAUAUGCGUAUAUAUAUUUAGUGCGUGGCGAUUGCACUUCAUAGAAUCACCUAAGUGUUGUGAAGAGUGGCUCUCUUCAUGGAAUUAUUUCCUAGAGCAUACAGAGAUCCAAGGUGUUGUUAUACCAAAAUUGUUUUAUCGCGGAGACGUAACCUUUAAGGAAUGAUGUGUGUUGUGGGGACCAACAUGUGAUUUUAUAAAGUUCAAGUAGCAAUACACCUUAUGAGAUUCACAUGUUUUCUCACUACACUAAUAUACAAAUUCAAUCGCAAGAUUAUUUGUAUUUAUGCAUCAAUGUUCCUCUUGUUCCAUCUUUUGUUGUAUUCCAUUUGUGGGGGAUUGUUGCAGGGAAUGAAACACAACAUUUCAGCCCAUAAAAGCCAUUUAAUGGGCUUAAAGCUUGGCCCAUAUCUGCUCAUUUUAAUGUGCCCUAGACUCAUUCUUUGUGCUGAAAAUUAGCAACUAACGUUUGAAAUGGGAUAGUGGGUUAAACCAUUAUUUAUUCUUCUUCUGCUGAAAACAAAAACACACGAACAGAGAGAGUUCUGUUCCCCACUUCAAAAACAAGAGCUGCUACUUUCUUCCAUAAUAUACCACUCAUACUCUUAUUCUUUCUUCACUCUCAAUAAAAGCGUCUCCACUCCGUCUUCUAUGAGUGCACGUAAUUGACGGAUUGCUGUGUUAACCUUGGGAAGCAUUCGGCAUCGAGACUUGACACCGGAGGGUCUGCCGAGAUAGCUUUUAAGGCAGCGGUGCGCCGCGACACAGUUUCGGUUCUUGUUUCUCUUCUUCUACUCUGUUUUGCAGGUUCAGGGUUUUCAUCGAACAGUUGGCGUGCAUCUCCAAAUUCAGCCUGUUGCUUCCUUUCUUUGCUGAGCAUUGACGUAGCUUUGUUCCAACAGUUGGGUCGCGUAUUCCGCAUUAAGGCUCGGGUCAACCGGGUUCUGUUUGCUGAAAUUGUAUAUUC